AGUGAACGCUGGCGGUAGGCCUAACACAUGCAAGUCGAACGGCAGCACAGUAAGAGCUUGCUCUUACGGGUGGCGAGUGGCGGACGGGUGAGAAAUACAUCGGAAUCUACUUUUUCGUGGGGGAUAACGUAGGGAAACUUACGCUAAUACCGCAUACGACCUACGGGUGAAAGCAGGGGAUCUUCGGACCUUGCGCGAUUGAAUGAGCCGGUGUCGGAUUAGCUAGUUGGCGGGGUAAAGGCCCACCAAGGCGACGAUCCGUAGCUGGUCUGAGAGGAUGAUCAGCCACACUGGAACUGAGACACGGUCCAGACUCCUACGGGAGGCAGCAGUGGGGAAUAUUGGACAAUGGGCGCAAGCCUGAUCCAGCCAUACCGCGUGGGUGAAGAAGGCCUUCGGGUUGUAAAGCCCUUUUGUUGGGAAAGAAAAGCAGCAGGUUAAUACCCCGCUGUUCUGACGGUACCCAAAGAAUAAGCACCGGCUAACUUCGUG
rnacentral:rRNA from 1 species